rnacentral:sRNA from 1 species
CAGUCCCCAGAUGGAGAUGUCUGCUUGUAUCUUUUUUAACUGUUUUAGUACAGCCUCCUCUUCGACUUGCUUCUCUUUCUGUCUCUCAGCUUCCUUAUCUUUCCCAGAUGUCUCUGGUUGGUCUAGGUGCGGGGGCUUGAAAUACCGUCCGCUUCUCGUCAUGUGGUCGACUUCUCCAAGGUACCAGGUGUUAUCGGGUUGGUUGUUCCCCCAAUCUUCGUCUGUAUGGGCAAGACAUAAAUCCUCAUCUUCCCACCACAUUCCAUCAGCAGCCGACAGACACCUGUCCGGCUCUGGUAUGACUGUUCUCGUACUCGCGGUACCUUUCACCCCUAUGCUCGCAGCAUUCUCUGUGCCUGCACACACAGCAAUUUCAGUCCCUACAUGGGCCUUUGCCUUUCUGAUUCUCGCGGGAUCUUCAAAUCUUUCUUGUUCCGACCGUAUCAACACAGCUGGCUGCUCAAUAAUUCCUGCAUUCAGAAUGCUCCAAUCUCUAGUGGAAUUCUUAACACCGGCGCUCUCCGGCGAUGUAUUCUGUUCUCUGACUCUUUCGACUAUAACCGACAUUCGUGCCCCUGUCGGACUCUGUCCUGGUUGGAACUCUUCCACUACAUCUGGUUGAUCAUCUAACCACCCAGUGGCCUCUGCUGAUUCCUCAUAGUCAAACUAGUUGAUUGCUGUGCCCUCUGGAUCUUGGUCACUGUAAAACUGGAGAUUGGCAAGGUCCUCCUCCACAGCCCUUAAAUCAUCUGUUCCCUGUCC